rnacentral:rRNA from 1 species
CUACGGGAGGCUCCAGUGGGGAAUAUUGCACAAUGGGCGCAAGCCUGAUGCAGCCAUGCCGCGUGCAUGAAGAAGGCCUUCGGGUUGUAAAGUACUUUCAGCGGGGAGGAAGGGAGUAAAGUUAAUACCUUUGCUCAUUGACGUUACCCGCAGAAGAAGCACCGGCUAACUCCGUGCCAGCAGCCGCGGUAAUACGGAGGGUGCAAGCGUUAAUCGGAAUUACUGGGCGUAAAGCGCACGCAGGCGGUUUGUUAAGUCAGAUGUGAAAUCCCCGGGCUCAACCUGGGAACUGCAUCUGAUACUGGCAAGCUUGAGUCUCGUAGAGGGGGGUAGAAUUCCAGGUGUAGCGGUGAAAUGCGUAGAGAUCUGGAGGAAUACCGGUGGCGAAGGCGGCCCCCUGGACGAAGACUGACGCUCAGGUGCGAAAGCGUGGGGAGCAAACAGGAUUAGAUACCCGCGUAGUC